rnacentral:lncRNA from 1 species
AACGUGUGCAUCUAGAUGGGAUCUUCGACCUUGAUAGAGAGCGGUCCUAUGAGAUUUGAGAACCUAAGUUCACAAGUCUAUGAUCAUAACAGUGUUAUUAAUGAAAAAAAGAUUUUCAUUUGAAAUCACUAUUGAACUUGAGCUGAUUGAAUCUAUCAUAUGACUGAUGAUGAGAUUUGAUGACUAAUCCAUUACCUACCAUCU